CUUGGUAUUGAAGAUUUUUUUAAGGUUCCGACAAAUGACAAAUCCCUAACCCAAAACAGAAAAUAAGAAUAAUUUAUAAAUAGAAACAGUUUCCAGUAAAACCCAAUUCCAGUAAGAAUAAUUCAUAAACAGAACCCAAUUCCAGUAAAAUCCAAACAGUUGUAAAGUUUAAAGUUUACUAAUUCCAGUACAAAUAAAAUAUUUAAUUCCUCCAAAAAAAUCAAAGUGAUAAAAUAAAUUAAAUUGGUUUGGGUGGAAUAGUAUUGCACAUGGAAUGAGGUUAUUAAUAUAGGGCGCAUAUUUGGGACGGUACCGAUUUCAGUGAGGUACCUGGUCACGUUCAACCGUCCGCCGCGAUCCUCCACUGCGGAUUCCGGAACCACGAGGUCCGAAAUCCGCGAACUCGCCAUUCCGGAACCGACGAUUCCGGAAAUCGUUGGUUCCGGAACUCACCAUUCUGAAACCGGUUCCGGAAAUCGUCGGUCCGUCCAAAUUGCCAAUUUUUUCCUUUUGGAUCUCUGGUUCGGUAUCGAUGGGGGUGAAAAAUCUGUGGGAAAUACUUGACUUCUGCAAGAAAACCCUUCCCCUCAGUAACCUCGAGUAAUUUCAACCAUCAUCGUGUUUUAUUCACUGAUAAAACCCAUAAACCCAUCAUGACGGUCCGAGGAUCACAGACGUGCCGCAGGAUGCGGGGUGGGUGUCGUCUGUGAUCCUCGGUGUAUUAAUAUAAUAUAUUCAGGAACAUUAUUAUUGUUGGUACAUAAUUGGUACAUUAUUAUUAUUGGUGGUAUAUAGUCAAGCAACCCAAAUACCCAAUUACAUCUCAACAAGUAUCAAUGGCUUGACCAUGAGUGCACGUCCAUUUUCUCUCAAAGAAGGUACAUCUGGACAACUAGUCGACUACGUGUUGGAAAACCAUGCUUCAACUACGUAUAUAAAAGAGAGCGAUCAUGUGAAAGAUAGCAAGAAAGAUUAUACCUCAACAAAUAUUUUCCAAGAACCAAUUGCUCGAGCAUCGCAAAGAUUCAAAAAACUUUAGCCACAGCCUGUUUGAUUUUGGUAUAAACAUUAAACAGGAUCAAACAUUUCUUAUGAUUUUCUUUUCACCCAAAUGAAUUUUCACCCAAAUAAUAUGUAGAAACAAGAUCAACAAAUAAAUACCAGAGAAGGCUGAUGAGAUUUCCAGAUAGGGUUCUCGGAGAAAAUAUUUCCAGCAAAGAAGCAACAGCCGUGAAGAAGAGAUUCCCGGAGAAGAUUAAGGAUGGUCGGGGACGACGGGGAGAAGAUUUAUGAAAAUUGUAAAUGGGUCGCGGGGGUAAGAAGGGGGAGAGGGGAAUAGAAUAUAUUAAAUAUUGUAAAAUUUAUAUAUUAACUCUUAAAAAAUAUUAAUAUAUUGUGAAAAUUGUAUUUAAC
rnacentral:lncRNA from 1 species